GAUGAAGAACGUAGCGAAAUGCGAUAAGUAAUGUGAAUUGCAGAAUUCAGUGAAUCAUCGAAUCUUUGAACGCACAUUGCGCCCGCCAGUAUUCUGGCGGGCAUGCCUGUUCGAGCGUCAUUUCAACCAUCAAGCCCCGGGCUUGUGUUGGGGACCUGCGGCUGCCGCAGGCCCUGAAAAGCAGUGGCGGGCUCGCUGUCACACCGAGCGUAGUAGCAUACUUCUCGCUCUGGGCGUGCUGCGGGUUCCGGCCGUUAAACCACCUUUUAACCCAAGGUUGACCUCGGAUCAGGUAGGAAGACCCGCUGAACUUAAGCAUAUCAAUAAGCGGAGGA
rnacentral:misc_RNA from 1 species